AUUGAACGCUGGCGGCAGGCUUAACACAUGCAAGUCGAGCGGAGAUGAGGUGCUUGCACCUUAUCUUAGCGGCGGACGGGUGAGUAAUGCUUAGGAAUCUGCCUAUUAGUGGGGGACAACAUUCCGAAAGGAAUGCUAAUACCGCAUACGUCCUACGGGAGAAAGCAGGGGAUCUUCGGACCUUGCGCUAAUAGAUGAGCCUAAGUCGGAUUAGCUAGUUGGUGGGGUAAAGGCCUACCAAGGCGACGAUCUGUAGCGGGUCUGAGAGGAUGAUCCGCCACACUGGGACUGAGACACGGCCCAGACUCCUACGGGAGGCAGCAGUGGGGAAUAUUGGACAAUGGGGGAAACCCUGAUCCAGCCAUGCCGCGUGUGUGAAGAAGGCCUUAUGGUUGUAAAGCACUUUAAGCGAGGAGGAGGCUACUGAGACUAAUACUCUUGGAUAGUGGACGUUACUCGCAGAAUAAGCACCGGCUAACUCUGUGCCAGCAGCCGCCGUAAGAC
rnacentral:rRNA from 1 species